rnacentral:tRNA from 1 species
UAGAAAGUAAUAUAGUGGGAGUAUGAAGGGUUUUGAUCUCUUUAGUACAGGUUCGAAUCCUGUCUUUCUAA